GAGGGCAAGUCUGGGCCAGCAGCCGCGGUAAUUCCAGCUCCAAUAGCGUAUAUUAAAGUUGUUGCAGUUAAAAAGCUCGUAGUUGAAUUUCGGGGUUAGUAGGUUGGCCAUGCCUCAGGUAUGUACUGAUCUUACUGAUUCCUCCUUCCUGAUGAACCGUAAUGCCAUUAAUUUGGUGUUGCGGGGAAACUGGACUGUUACUUUGAAAAAAUUAGAGUGUUUAAAGCAGGCUAACGCUUGAAUACAUUAGCAUGGAAUAAUGAAAUAGGACGUUCGAUCCUAUUUUGUUGGUUUCUAGGAUUGACGUAAUGAUUAAUAGGGAUAGUUGGGGGCAUUAGUAUUCAAUUGUCAGAGGUGAAAUUCUUGGAUUUAUUGAAGACUAAUUACUGCGAAAGCAUUUGCCAAGGAUGUUUUCUUUAAUCAAGAACGAAAGUUAGGGGAUCGAAGACGAUCAGAGACGGUAGUAGUCUUAACCAUAAACUAUGCCGACCAGGGAUCGGAUGAUGUUAAUUUUCUAAUGACUCAUUCGGCGCCUUACGGGAAAC
rnacentral:rRNA from 1 species